AUUGAACGCUGGCGGCAUGCCUUACACAUGCAAGUCGAACGGUAACGGGCCUUCGGGUGCCGACGAGUGGCGGACGGGUGAGUAAUGCAUCGGAACGUACCUUUCAGUGAGGGAUAACGUAGCGAAAGUUACGCUAAUACCGCAUAUUCUGUGAGCAGGAAAGCAGGGGAUCGCAAGACCUUGCGCUGAUUGAGCGGCCGAUGUCAGAUUAGCUAGUUGGUGAGGUAAAGGCUCACCAAGGCGACGGUCUGUAGCGGGUCUGAGAGGAUGAUCCGCCAAACUGGGACUGAGACACGGCCCAGACUCCUACGGGAGGCAGCAGUGGGGAAUUUUGGACAAUGGGGGCAACCCUGAUCCAGCCAUGCCGCGUGAGUGAAGAAGGCCUUCGGGUUGUAAAGCUCUUUCGGCCGGGAAGAAAUCGCACAGGCUAAUACCUUGUGUGGAUGACGGUACCGGAAUAAGAAGCACCGGCUAACUACGUGCCAGCCGCCGCCGUAAGAC
rnacentral:rRNA from 1 species